UUGCAUGUACUGACAAUGGUGAGAUGGGUAAGAGGAAGAGUAUGAGGUGGAUGUUGUGGGGAUGUUUUUGGUGGUAGAGUAUCAAGGUUAUGUCAUGGGCCUCCACUAUUGCAUGACGUAGAAGAUACGGAACAUGACACAUCAUUAGAUGAUUCAACUCAACCACCAAAUGUGGGUGUAGAGGAGGCUAGGGAAGAAGCUAAUGAGGCGCAUGAUUGUUACUAAUGAAUAUAAUACAGAUUUGCCUACUAGAAAACGUGGUCGUGGACCAGCAAAAGACAAGCUAUUUGAACGCAUUCGUAAAUUUGGGAAAAUAUCUUUGAACAUUAAGGAUGGACAAAGAUGUCCAUUGUGUGAGAAUUACAACAUAUUUUCUGGACGAGUGACAACGAUUGUGAGACUUCAUGCAAAUAUGCGACAUGCAAGCUGGAAAAUAGUAAACAAAGAGAAGAAAGAUGAGCUCAUAGAGCGUGUUCGGGCUGACUUGAUAUUGGAUUGGACACAAAGUUCUCAUCGUGAGUAUGUGACAAAUGCACUUGCUUGAAAAUACAAUGCAUUCCACUACCUCUUACACAAGCACUACCUGGGGUAUGCAAUGUACGAAUCGACACACUUUCUGGUUGGACAACCUGGGUGGAGAAGCCCGUAUGAGAACACUUAUGUGCAAUGUGGUCAAAGUAGGUCUAUAGCUGGUAGCAAGGGGACUGGAAGGGACUAGUGCUAAAGACACAAUGCUACCUGCAGAGAGAUAAGAAGCAGUAUCAUUGUGAAGUAUUUUUGAGCCAAGACCACAUUUGCUUUUGACAAGUAAAGCAGAUCAUAGUGGGCCACGAUUUGCAAGUUGCCAUAUACUUGGAAAUGCUUUAUGUUUUGCUAUGUUAUUUUAUAUUGGCUGCUUGCAAAGUUGAACUUUUAUCAUG